rnacentral:tRNA from 1 species
GUCCUCCUCGUAUAAUGGUUAGUACAGUAGUCUCAUAAUCUACAGAUUCGGGUUCAAUUCCCGAGGAAGACA